rnacentral:rRNA from 1 species
UACGUAGGCAGCGAGCGUUGUUCGGAGUUACUGGGCGUAAAGAGUGCGUAGGCGGUUUUCUAAGUUUGGUGUGAAAUCUCCCGGCUCAACUGGGAGGGUGCGCCGAAGACUGGAAGGCUUGAGUAUGGGAGAGGUAAGCGGAAUUCCUGGUGUAGCGGUGAAAUGCGCAGAUAUCAGGAGGAACACCAAUGGCGAAGGCAGCUCGCUGGGACGGUACUGACGCUGAGGCGCGAAAGCGUGGGGAGCAAACAGG